CGUUGCCAUAUCAAAUCUUGUGUUAGUUUCCCCAAACAAGACUUCAGAGAUUGAACCACGCCUACUCGGUAGACACAACACUUGAACAGAAUGCUGCACAACUAUUAUAAUGUAAUAAAUCAGCUUGAACAUGACCUUUUGCAUACCAACGCUUUAAUAAAGAACUGUUACUUUUACCUUUGUGUCUCCUCUCCUGUGUUGUGAUAAACAUACAAACAUAACACUUCUCUGAAAUCUUUUUCUGUAGGACUUCAGUUGGUAUUUCACAUGGCCCAAUCUCAAAACAGAACAGUGUGGCCAGCAAAUUAUCAGCUGCCCAAAUUUCCAUUGGCAAUACAAAAAAAAACUUGAUGAGGAGAGCAGAGAUUUUUUUUCUUCAACAGGACGGAACAAAUGGAGAUUGAAAGUAAUUCAAACUCUGUUUGAUCAGAUGUGCACAUAUACAUGGUAUCCAACAAGUGAACAGUACAACAAGGUGUGUUCAGCCCUUGUUACUAAAUACCAAUUCUUGAGAGACAGGACAGGAAGGGGAUAUGAGUCAUGGCAUGAGAUUCUUAAGAACAAAUUUAAGAAAGAAAGAUCACCCUUGGUUGACAUUGAAGAGAUAAACAGUAUUCGCAGCAGAUUUAGCAGAGUAAAGAACAAUUCUCCAAGCAUCCAACAGACAUCUGACACCAAGAAGGCAACUAAUAAAGAAGUAAGCCAAAUGAUAUGACACCUUAAUGGAUAUUUACAGUAAUGGAUGUCUUUAUUUUUUAUUUUUAUUGUUUUUUUAUUUUUAGACUGAGGAUCUAUCUGUAAUCCAAGACAUGUACCAAAAGAGACAAAGGUCUGAAGAGGUAAAUAGAAUAAUCUUCAGGAUUUAAGAAUAGGUCAAAGUAUACUGUUAUUAAAUAAGUGCA